UACGAAGGGGGCUAGCGUUGCUCGGAAUUACUGGGCGUAAAGCGUGCGCAGGCGGUUUUGUAAGUCUGUCGUGAAAGCCCCGGGCUCAACCUGGGAAUUGCGAUGGAGACUGCAAGGCUUGAAUCUGGCAGAGGGGGGUAGAAUUCCACGUGUAGCAGUAGAAAUGCGUAGAGAUGUGGAGGAACACCGAUGGCGAAGGCAGCCC
rnacentral:rRNA from 1 species